rnacentral:rRNA from 1 species
ACUUUCGAUGGUAGGAUAGAGGCCUACCAUGGUGGUGACGGGUGACGGAGAAUUAGGGUUCGAUUCCGGAGAGGGAGCCUGAGAAACGGCUACCACAUCCAAGGAUGGCAGCAGGCGCGCAAAUUACCCAAUCCCGACACGGGGAGGUAGUGACAAUAAAUAACAAUACGGGGUUCUUUCGGAUCUCGUAAUUGGAAUGAGUACAAUUUAAAUCUCUUAACGAGGAACAAUUGGAGGGCAAGUCUGGUGCCAGCAGCCGCGGUAAUUCCAGCUCCAAUAGCGUAUAUUAAAGUUGUUGCAGUUAAGAAGCUCGUAGUUGAAUUUCGGGGUCAGUAGGUUGGUCGUGCCACUGGUACGUACUGGUCUCACUGAUUCCUCCUUCCUGAUGAACCGUAAUGCCAUUAAUUUGGUGUUGCGGGGAAACUGGACUGUUACUUUGAAAAAAUUAGAGUGUUUAAAGCAGGCUAACGCUUGAAUACAUUAGCAUGGAAUAAUGAAAUAGGACGUUCGAUCUUAUUUUGUUGGUUUCUAAGAUUGACGUAAUGAUUAAUAGGGAUAGUUGGGGGCAUUAGUAUUCAAUUGUCAGAGGUGAAAUUCUUGGACUUAUUGAAGACUAACUACUGCGAAAGCAUUUGCCAAGGAUGUUUUCAUUAAUCAAGAACGAAAGUUAGGGGAUCGAAGACGAUCAGAUACCGUCGUAGUCUUAACCAUAAACUAUGCCGACUAGGGAUCGGAUGAUGUUAAUUUUUUAAUGACUCAUUCGGCGCCUUACGGGAAACCAAAGUGUUUGGGUUC